AUCUGCUACCAGUGCUGGUUCGGGAUACUCAGCUUUUGCGCACCAACGGAGACGAGAGGUGGAAGGACGGAGAUCUUCCGAGGGGAAAUUGGAGAGAAGAAGUUAAGACAUAGCCAGGACAAUUCUGUUAUAUGUUGUGAUUCUUGUAGCGAGAAAUUUUAAAGAGGUUCUAAGCCCAAUGCUUAAUAGCGAGUACAAACUUAGAAUCAAUGAUAUACGGUGCCCUUCAUUCUUUUUUGUACUAAAAGGAAAAAUUCAGGCCAAA